UGCACCUCGGCCUGGCCAGCCGGGCUGGCCUGACAUGGUGGCUGCAAGCGGAGGCUGUGAGUGAGAGGGAGCCGGGUCUGGCCAAGGUGCCGUGGCUCUGUCCCCCGUCACUGGCAGCGGUCGGCAGCCAGAGCAUUGCAGUCUCAUGGCACUUAGGGUUGACAGGGACCUUGCCAGAUCGUCGAGUCUGACCUGAUGCCCUGGGCAGGAGCAGGUGCCGGGGUCCUGUCAUCCAGUCCAACUCUCUGUCUAGCCUCAUCUCUGAGACCCACAAGGUAGGAGAGCACUGCCUACCUUGGGAUCCAGUUCCGGAGCCUGGCUGCCCUAAUGGUGAAGUCCCAUCUCCUGAUGUCCAGCCUAGAUUCAUAGAAGCAGGGUUGCAAGGGAUCUGGUCGAUCAUCGAGUCUGACCCCCUGCCCUGGGCGGGACAGGAAACCGGGCUCAAAUGACCCCAGCCAGGUAGACAUUGAGCCUCCUCUGAAAGACCCCCAGGGUAGGAGCCAUCACCGCUUCCCUUGGCAGUCGGUUCCAGAUCCUAGUCACCCUGAUUGUGAAGUAGUGCCUUUGGAUGUCUAGUCUAAACCUACUUGCUAACAAUUUGUGGCUAUUAUUCCUUGUUAUGGGGCGGUGGGGUGGGGGUGCUAGGGAGAACUGGGUUUCUGUCAAAGCCUGCUGGUCCCCACCUGGGGAGCUUAUAGAUGGGCACCAGCCCCACCUCAGCCUUCUCUGGCAUAGGCUGAACAGGUUCAGGUCCCGUAGCCUCUCUUUGUAGGGUCUGCCGUGCUGCCCCCGGAUCAUGUGGGUGGCCCUCCUCUGGACCAUCUCAAUGUUGUCGACAUCUCUUCUGCAGUGCGGCACCCAGAAGUAGAUGUGGUACUCCAGCUGAGGCCUGACCAGUGUCGCAUAGAGCGGGAGGAUUGCGUCCUUGGACCUGCUCAUGAUGCAUCUGUGGAUUCAUGACAAGAAGACUGGGACUAUGACUGCAGUGUGCCCGGCACUGCAGAGAGUGGUGGGAUUGCCUCCUGGGGCCCACUCGCGACGUGUCUGUAGAUGCGGGACAGGGUGCAGCAGGCCGUGCAGACCAUGUCCUUACGUCGCCAGCUCGCAUUUGUCAUAGAGGCGAUACUGACUUUGAGAGCCUUGUUGGCCACUGUGUAAAGAGCGUUCCUCAGCCUACGCUUGCCACCCCUGCAUCUGGAUUGCUGAGCGAGAUGUCGAACGUUAAGGACCCAGGGCCUGAGCCCUCGGGACCUCCCUCAAGCAGAUCUGCUGACCGGGGUGUCCCUGAGAGGGGUGUGGCCCUCACCCUCACCGCCCACGCAUUUAGUCCAAGCCCAGUGAACAGAUGUCUUUCUUUAUUAUCAGUAUCACUAUAUACAGGAAGAGAGAGAGAUUAAUAAAAAAUGGCAUAUAUACAUAUAUAUAUAUAAUCAACAGAGAAUAAUAAAACCAAUAAUUUAAAUA